rnacentral:rRNA from 1 species
AACGAACGUUGGCGGCGUGCCUAAUACAUGCAAGUCGCACGAGAAAGCCUUCGGGUGAGUAGAGUGGCGCACGGGUGAGUAAUGCAUAGGAACGUACCUUUAGGAGGGGAAUAACCACGGGAAACUGUGGCUAAUACCGCAUGAUGUCGCAAGACCAAAGAUGGCCUCUACUUGUAAGCUAUCGCCUAAAGAUCGGCCUAUGUCCCAUUAGCUUGUUGGUGAGGUAAGAGCUCACCAAGGCGACGAUGGGUAGCUGGUCUGAGAGGAUGAUCAGCCACACUGGGACUGAGACACGGCCCAG